AUUGAUGAAAGCGGCGAACGGGUGAGUAACCUGUGAACAACCUGCCCUUAACAAAGGGAUAGCCCACUGAAACGCGGAUUAAAACCUCAUAAGCAGAAGAGACACAUGUCUUGUCUGUCAAAGAUUCAUCGCCUAAGGAUGGGCCUACAUCUGAUUAGCUAGUUGGUGAGGUAACGGCCCACCAAGGUGACGAUCAGUAGCCGACCUGAGAGGGUGAUCGGCCACAUUGGAACUGAGACACGGCCCAGACUCCUACGGGAGGCAGCAGUAGGGAAU
rnacentral:rRNA from 1 species